rnacentral:lncRNA from 1 species
UUUAUUGCAGGAAGCCAUAGACUCUACCUACCUUAAUACUCAUGUUGCUUCAAACUUUUGAACCUACAACGAAUGACAUAUACAGAUUAUUCAAAAUGUAUCAGAGUUUUGAAUCUGCAUGACCUAUAUCAUUCCAUCAUACAUUAUCAUUCAUCAUGACAAUUUUUUUGCAUAUGUAUUUAUUUUCCAGGAAUCCAAGAGACCA